UACAGAGGUGGCAAGCGUUGUUCGGAAUUACUGGGCGUAAAGGGCGCGUAGGCGGCCUUCUAAGUCAGACGUGAAAUCCCCCGGCUUAACCUGGGAACUGCGUCUGAUACUGGGAGGCUAGAGUAUGGGAGAGGGAUGUAGAAUUCCAGGUGUAGCGGUGAAAUGCGUAGAUAUCUGGAGGAAUACCGGUGGCGAAGGCGGUAUCCUGGACCAUUACUGACGCUGAGGCGCGAAAGCUAGGGGAGCAAACGGG
rnacentral:rRNA from 1 species